GGGGCUGGGGCCGAGAAUGGGGCACUGGGGUGUCCCAGGCGUUCGUGGGUUCGAGGCCCACUCGCUCCGCGGGAGGUUCCGCACCGGGUGCCGCGCUGGGGCGUUAGAACCGAUCUUUUCUCUCUGUCACAGAAGAUGGAGGGCGCGGGCGAUGCUCUGCGGCCGGUAACUGGGGUCCUAUUCUUGUUGUUUCACAAAACUUUAACGUGCUGAAGUGGGAGAUUGAACUGAAAUGCUGUUUUCCUGCCUUGAAAAUCCUCCUGUAUACUGGGAAUCCACAAGAACUUUUCAAUAGAAGACCGGUAUUAUGGAGCACUGUUUAUCUGCAGAUGUGCUGGGUACCGUAAGUAUUACACAGGAAAUACCAGCUGGAGUCGCCCUUACGCCACCGUGGUUCUGAACUUCAGUAUGGCGAUAUCCAGCCGGGUCUCUGCUCUUCCGUGAUGUGCCGUCCUGGAAGAACGAAGGUGCCUCCUCAUUUCAUGCAUGCUGGGUCAGAUACUUACUAAUAAAAUCUGCUUUGAGGACCAGCAACGCCUGGCUACCCUGAGUUGGUCUGCUGUGUUUGCUGGGAAUGGACAGACCCCAACAACUUUAACGUCUGUGUUGUCUCCUGCAAGCCAUUCUUUACGACUACGAAGCAUUCCUGGAAGUGCAGUGGGAGUACCUGGUUUUAGAUGAGUGGCAGAACGGCAAUAACGUGCAGAGGAGCACUGGGCUGCCACGGCUAGAAAAAGCAGUUCCUCAGACAGGUUUCUGUGGGAUUAAUUUUAAUUAUGUAGAACAUAUUUCUACACUCUGUCACUUCUUCUUAGUUUUACCUCUAUCCUUUCAGCUAGCAACCGAUAUUCAUCUAAAAUUUGAUGCUAGGCACAGGAUGUUCCAGGAACCCCAUCCUGGUGGUCAGAGCACGGCACCUUCUUUGGCAGAGGUGAUAUCCACGUUAUCCUGACGGCAAACUGUAGGAAAAAUAAACUAAACCCAGCCUGGAUUUGGUGUGUGUGAAACCUCCAGUAGCCGAUGUUCACAGCAGUGAAACCUCUGCUGUGUGGGAACCAAAUAAUUCAGCAAGUAGAAGCUGUAUUUUCCUUACUGCUGAACUAUUCCCCAGGAUUUGGGUGGUAUUUUUUGUAAUCAAAAGUCGCACCAGGUUACUUUUAAAAUUAUUAUUAAUUGCCCGUGCUCCAGGUAAGCAUCGUCUAGUGCAUCCUGGGAGGGGGAAAGUUUUCUCUGCACGUUUUUACACUAAAUCUUGAAGAGGAUUGCCAGCACUGCCGCCGGUACUGACAGAAACCACUCUUUGAACGGCUGUUACUGUCCCUCCGUGUACUAUACGCUACAAUAAAAGUUAACUUCCCGUCC